GGGGAUGUAGCUCAGUAGUGAAGCACUUGCUUAAGAUGCAUGAGGCCCUGGAUUCAAUUCCAGUAUCACAC
rnacentral:tRNA from 1 species